rnacentral:misc_RNA from 1 species
GUGAAUCAUCAAAUCUUUGAACGCAAAUUGCACUUUCUGGUAUUCCGGAAAGUAUGCCUGUUUGAGGGUCAGUUAAAUAAAAAACUGUUUUGUUGCUGCCUUUCGUGGUGACGCGGCGACAUUGCGUCGCCUUACCUUCGGUUUAGCUACUUAAAAUUUUUGCAUGAUUUUCGAACGUAUUUAAC